UUUCAGUUUACCUGGGGAGUGGAGUCUGGGGCUUGAUUUUCGCUGGCUUCUUUUCAGCACAGGGCACUUUAGGUGGCACAGACAAGAUUAUUGGAAACAACUUGCUGGCUGUAGUGGUUCUGUUUUCAUGGACGGUUGCUAUAAUGCACCCUCUUUUCUAUGUAAUGAAAUAUGUUAAAGUUUUGCGUAUCCCACGGUUCAUGGAAAAGCAAGGUGUCGAUAAAUUCAGGCAUGAUAAGAGACAUCCACUUGGAAAAAGAACAGAGUUUAAAUUAAGCAAGCCUCAUUGAUAAAGAACACUCAGGAUUUUAUACCAAUGAAUGUAAACUGAAUGGGCUAGUUUCAUAGACCCGGAUUAGCACUAAUUAACUCCCUAAUGUUAUCUUUGGUAAGGUAGUCCAAGAUUAGUGCUCAUUUAGGUUUGUGAAACUAGUCAAAUAUGCAUUGAAAGUCAGUAAAAGUUGAUUUAGGAGCACAUGUCUUUCUUCAAUAUCUUCAUCUUCAUCUUCAUCAAUUCUCUCUUCAGCAUUGAUAAAGAUUUCUCAAGAUUAAGAUCUACAUAUUCAAAAUGUUUAGGUUUCAUAAAUA